rnacentral:piRNA from 1 species
UACUGAGUAACAGUAUCAAGCCU